rnacentral:rRNA from 1 species
GAUGAACGCUAGCUACAGGCUUAACACAUGCAAGUCGCGGGGCAGCAUGGGGGUUGCUUGCAAUCCCCGAUGGCGACCGGCGCACGGGUGAGUAACGCGUAUCCAACCUGCCCUUCACCACGCGAUAACCCGGCGAAAGUCGGACUAAUACCGUAUGUUGUCCAUUGACGGCAUCCGAUUUGGAUGAAAGGUUUGGCGGUGAAGUCUGGGGUUGCGUCCGUUUAGCUGGACGGCGGGGUGACGGCCCGCCGUGGCGACGAUCGGUAGGGGUUCUGAGAGGAAGGGCCCCCACAGUGGAACUGAGACACGGUCCAGACUCAUACGGGAGGCAGCAGUGAGGAAUAUUGGUCAAUGGGCGUAAGCCUGAACCAGCCAAGUAGCGUGCAGGAUGACGGCCCGAGGGGUUGUAGACUGCUUUUAUGCGGGGAUAAAGUGGCCCACGGGUGGGUUAUUGCAGGUACCGCAUGAAUAAGGACCGGCUAAUUACGUG